rnacentral:rRNA from 1 species
UGAGGAAUAUUGGUCAAUGGGCGGAAGCCUGAACCAGCCAAGUAGCGUGAGGGAUGACUGCCCUAUGGGUUGUAAACCUCUUUUAUAAGGGAAUAAAAUACGGGACGUGUCCUGUUUUGCAUGUACCUUAUGAAUAAGGACCGGCUAAUUCCGUGCCAGCAGCCGCGGUAAUACGGAAGGUCCGGGCGUUAUCCGGAUUUAUUGGGUUUAAAGGGUGCGUAGGCGGACCGUUAAGUCAGUGGUAAAAUUGAGAGGCUCAACCUCUUCCGGCCAUUGAAACUGGCGGACUUGAGUGAGCGAGAAGUAUGCGGAAUGCGUGGUGUAGCGGUGAAAUGCAUAGAUAUCACGCAGAACUCCGAUUGCGAAGGCAGCAUACCGGCGCUCAACUGACGCUGAGGCACGAAAGCGUGGGGAUC